GAUUUUGUAGUUGAAUACAACGGCGGUUUUUCGUGCCGUAGGUCCUGGUUAGAGUCCAGGCAAAAUUA
rnacentral:tRNA from 1 species